UACGGAGGGGGCUAGCGUUGUUCGGAAUUACUGGGCGUAAAGCGCACGUAGGCGGACCAGAAAGUUGGGGGUGAAAUCCCGGGGCUCAACCUCGGAACUGCCUUCAAAACUAUUGGUCUGGAGUUCGAGAGAGGUGAGUGGAAUUCCGAGUGUAGAGGUGAAAUUCGUAGAUAUUCGGAGGAACACCAGUGGCGAAGGCGGCUCACUGGCUCGAUACUGACGCUGAGGUGCGAAAGCGUGGGGAGCAAACAGG
rnacentral:rRNA from 1 species